CCUACGGGGGGCAGCAGUGGGGAAUAUUGGACAAUGGGCGAAAGCCUGAUCCAGCCAUGUCGCGUGUGUGAAGAAGGCCUUCGGGUUGUAAAGCACUUUCAGUGGGGAAGAAAGCCUUGGGGCUAAUACCCUCGAGGAAGGACAUCACCCACAGAAGAAGCACCGGCUAACUCCGUGCCAGCAGCCGCGGUAAUACGGAGGGUGCGAGCGUUAAUCGGAAUUACUGGGCGUAAAGCGCGCGUAGGCGGUCUGAUAAGCCGGUUGUGAAAGCCCCGGGCUCAACCUGGGAACGGCAUCCGGAACUGUCAGGCUAGAGUGCAGGAGAGGAAGGUAGAAUUCCCGGUGUAGCGGUGAAAUGCGUAGAGAUCGGGAGGAAUACCAGUGGCGAAGGCGGCCUUCUGGACUGACACUGACGCUGAGGUGCGAAAGCGUGGGUAGCAAACAGGAUUAGAUACCCGUGUAGUC
rnacentral:rRNA from 1 species